UCCUGGCUUAUUCAGAUAACUCGAUAGAGCAUGAGACUCUUAAUCUCAGGCUCGUGGGUUCGAGCCCCACAUUGGGCAAAA